AUACAGAGGGUGCAAGCGUUAAUCGGAUUUACUGGGCGUAAAGCGCGCGUAGGUGGCUAAUUAAGUCAAAUGUGAAAUCCCCGAGCUUAACUUGGGAAUUGCAUUAGAUACUGGUUAGCUAGAGUAUGGGAGAGGAUGGUAGAAUUCCAGGUGUAGCGGUGAAAUGCGUAGAGAUCUGGAGGAAUACCGAUGGCGAAGGCAUCCACCGGACUUAAUACGGACUCUGAGGUGAGAAUGCAUGGGAAUCAAUCAGGAUUGGAUAACCUGGUGCUCCAUGCCUUAAAGGAUGUCUACGAGCCGUUGUAGCCCUUGAGGCUUUAGUGGCGCAGCUAACGCGAUAAGUAGGCCGCCUGGGGAGUACUGUCUCAAGACGAAAACUCAAAUGAAUUGGCGGGG
rnacentral:rRNA from 1 species